rnacentral:rRNA from 1 species
AAUGAACGCUGGCGGCGUGCCUAACACAUGCAAGUCGAACGAGAGCGUGGGAGCUUGCUCCCACAAUCUAGUGGCAGACGGGUGAGUAACGCGUGGGCAACCUACCUUUGAGUGGGGGAUACCCAGCCGAAAGGCUGGUUAAUACCGCAUAACAUCAACGUGUCCUCGGGCGUGUUGAUCAAAGCCUGGGAUCUUCGGACCAGGCGCUUGUUGAGGGGCUCGCGUGGGAUUAGUUAGUUGGUGGGGUAAUGGCCUACCAAGACAUCGAUCUCUAGCCGGCCUGAGAGGGUGAUCGGCCACACUGGAACUGAGACACGGUCCAG